rnacentral:lncRNA from 1 species
UGACUUAGACAGUUCAUUUGGUUUAGUGAAUAUUACUUUUGAAUUCAUAUGGCUUUAUGAAUGUAAUAAUGAAUUUGGGAUUUUUGCGAAAUGAAAAUGGUUUCUACCCCUUGUGGUAGCGAGUUUUAAAAGGAAAAAGUUUCUGUGUGGGAAAUAGUUUUUAAAAGAGUUUUCUCAUGAUUUUCAUGACUUAGUAUUUCAAAACAAGUUUUCGGGUAGGAAAUAUUUUAAACUAAUAGUUGUGGAUUUAUGUUUAAACUCUGAAUGUGAAUCUGUGUGUAUGAGUGGAUGAAUGUAUGAAUGUUUAUAUAUUCAAUUUGGUGGUUGUAUCCUGUUAUGUAUCUUGUACUUGUGCGACGCCGUGCAAAU